rnacentral:lncRNA from 1 species
ACCUACAGAUUUAGUUAUGAUCUACCACAAGACAUGUCUAAAUGUGUUGGGUAUCUUAUUAUCAUAACCAUUAUUGUUUUUAUAUAAAAAAAAAUGGAAAGGUUAACAUAUUAUAUCUAUUGUAUUUAAUAAUGUCAAUAUAAUAUUUUACAUUACGAUUCACUAGCUAUCCUUCUUCAGUAACCCAGAUUCAAAAGCUAAAAAUUGGUCAAUGUAUUGUUAUCUCCUCUGCAAAAAAUACCGGAACUCCUUAUUCUAAUAUCGAUAAUAACGUAAGCAGUCGGUAAUUGUGUGUAAUGUAAUUUAUUUCGCAAAACAAAAAAUUUUAGUGCUCAAAAAUUAUAUUUAAAAAAAAACAAAAUAAUCGUCUUAAAGAAUGAUAAAAAAUCGAAAGUAGAAGAGGGGCGAAAGAUAACAGAGGGAGAGUCAUAGAAAAUUGACUGACAACACCAUAGCUAAAAAAAAAAGAAAAGACAAACAGACAAAUAAUAGUACAGAAGACCCAUAUAAAACACUAAAGACUAAGCAACACAAACCCAACCAAAAACUUGGGGUGAUCUCAGGUGCUCCGGAAGGGUAAACAUAUUCUGCCCCACAUGUGUUAAUUCAGAAAUAAUUUACAAAAUUGUAUUUAAAUUAGAAAUGUAACAGCAAAAUGUACAUGCAGGACGAACAAUAAAGCAACACUUUUACAUGAAUAGUCUGUCAAAUGGUUUGAAGUCCAAAACAAAAUUAACUUUAUUAACAUAAACGAACUUUGCAGUUUCCUCUGUUGAAAUAUACUGCAGCUCAACAAUAGAACUAUGCAUUAUGUAAAUAGUUAAUCCAGGUCAAUGUCAUUUUCUGGUCCCUCUACAUAGUUUCGGUUGAGUCUAUUCUUGCGAUAUCAGUGAUAUAUAUUCUAUUAUUAUAAUGUUAAAUGACAUAAUCUAUCGACAGGGAUUUCUUAAUUCAUUUAAUAGAACAGAGAAUAUAUUUUCACUGAUAGUCAAGAAAAUGACAUUUUGAAAUUAGAAGUACCAGCGG